rnacentral:rRNA from 1 species
AGAGUUUGAUCCUGGCUCAGGAUGAACGCUAGCGGCAGGCUUAACACAUGCAAGUCGAGGGGUAUAGGAGGCUUGCUUCCUAGAGACCGGCGCACGGGUGCGUAACGCGUAUGCAACCUACCCUUUACAGGGGAAUAGCCCAGAGAAAUUUGGAUUAAUGCCCCAUGGNUAUAUCAGUAUGGCAUCAUACUGUUAUUAAAGUCACAACGGUAAAGGAUGGGCAUGCGUCCCAUUAGCUAGUUGGUAAGGUAACGGCUUACCAAGGCGAUGAUGGGUAGGGGUCCUGAGAGGGAGAUCCCCCACACUGGUACUGAGACACGGACCAGACUCCUACGGGAGGCAGCAGUGAGGAAUAUUGGUCAAUGGGCGCAAGCCUGAACCAGCCAUGCCGCGUGCAGGAUGAAGCAUCUACGGUGUGUAAACUGCUUUUGUACGGGAAGAAACCUCCGCUCGUGAGCGGAAUUGACGGUACCGUAAGAAUAAGGAUCGGCUAACUCCGUGCCAGCAGCCGCGGUAAUACGGAGGAUCCAAGCGUUAUCCGGAAUCAUUGGGUUUAAAGGGUCCGUAGGCGGGCCUGUAAGUCAGUGGUGAAAUCUCCCCGCUCAACGGGGAAACUGCCAUUGAUACUGCAGGUCUUGAAUUAUUGGGAAGUAACUAGAAUAUGUAGUGUAGCGGUGAAAUGCUUAGAGAUUACAUGGAAUAC